rnacentral:rRNA from 1 species
UACAGAGGUGGCAAGCGUUGUUCGGAAUUACUGGGCGUAAAGGGCUCGUAGGCGGCCAACUAAGUCAGACGUGAAAUCCCUCGGCUUAACCGGGGAACUGCGUCUGAUACUGGAUGGCUUGAAUCCGGGAGAGGGAUGCGGAAUUCCAGGUGUAGCGGUGAAAUGCGUAGAUAUUGGGAAGAACACCUGAGGCGAAGGCGGGUUGCUGGGCUGACACUGACGCUGAUGCGCGAAAGCCAGGGGAGCGAACGGG